GCCGGACCGGGGAGGAUUCUCCUGGUGGCUAUUAGUGCCCCACUCCGCCCCUGGGCCAGAGCCAGGCACACUCAAAAUUUAUUUCGGAAUUUUCUAGUUAAAAUAAGAUUAUACAUAAAAAUGAAAAGACAUUCAAGCUAUUCACCUACGGCCUAAAAAUACUUUUAUUUUACAUUUUUUACUUGGAGCUUGGAAAUUCCGACAUUCAUGCACGACUGGAACGCACCAUUAGUCGUAGCACACAAACGCCGGGGUCUCAAUGCGCGCUGCACGUAUAUCAUUGGCGGCUGGUCGUUUUUAAAGUGAGGGAGGAAGGACUGCGCGCUUGGUUGCCAUUAUGCCAGGAUGCAAAGCCCAAUUUUCAAAUCAGACCUACUUGAUUUGUAAAAGUAAAUAAAAAAAUCUGGGCCUAUUUUUGCCCUCAAUGACUGAAGUUAUUGGUUGUACGGCAAAAUAGUCGCAUAGCAGCACCAACGUGAACUUGACACUAGUCGUGGCGUUUGGUUGCCCUAUCAAGAUUUUUCACAUCAGGGAAACCAUGAACAGCCCACGCUGGAGAUUUGCCAUUAUUCAUUAGCAAACAGGGCCAGCAAUACAGUUGAUUGCUCGUAAUGCUACCAGUAAGCCAUGAGUACCUAGCAAACCAUGUAGCACCCACAACACUGACGUUGCCAUUACUUAUGGUGAUCUCGAUUUUGCGAAGUGGUCUACCUUUUUCUUUGGUCGCUAACUUAGCACUGUAACUCAAUGAAUGGAAUGCUUUGUGUAAUUAAACAUGAACAAUGUC